GUAACUUUUUAGCUAUUGCACACGAACCUUAGAAUGUACCCAACAAUAUGUCACAUGCUAUGUCUAUGCAUGUCAAAUUUCUCUGUUCGAAUCUGUGUUUAUGUAAUCUACUCAUUGUAUGUUUGUGCAUAUUGUCUCUCCAUGUCCAGUUCGCUACUUAAUGUGCCUUGAAAUGCUGUAAUCCUUAUGUUUCAUAACUUAAUAUAUGAACUCAAUAAAGAUCUUAUAUUGAAGAAAAUAAAA